CCUGCUUCUACCAACAAACAGGGAUGGAAGUGAACAUAACCAACUCCAAGCCUUGGCAUGAUGAAGAAAUCAUGUUACAGGUGCUCCAGCCCUGGAGCAGCCAUGGAGUCAGCACCUUUGAGUGGCUGGUUUCUCUGUGUCUCAGAGGUGGCAGCCCUUGAAGUUGACAGAAAAGACUUCACCUUGCAGGAUAAGGGGUAACCUGAAAUAUGUCAUAAAUGCCAGUAGCAAAGAUGAAAUGCUUGGCAUUACCUCAAGAUCUUGCAGAGAGAAAUAUGUUUUCAACAGUGACAGGUGUAAAACAAUCAGCUUGAGAGGUUCCUGUGAUGUCUUCUUCAAAGUAAAUCCAGCAAAACAAAUUCCUCUGAAAGAUUUCCAUGAAGCCUCCCCACAAGCAACAGUAAACAACACCUUUCACAGAACUUCAGGUAGCUGCUAAAGUACAAGUGUGGAAUUACUGAAUGGGA